rnacentral:rRNA from 2 species
UGGGGAAUAUUGCACAAUGGAGGAAACUCUGACCCAGCAACGCCGCGUGAAGGAAGAAGGUUUUCGGAUUGUAAACUUCUGUAAUAGAGGAAGAAGAAAGUGACGGUACUCUAUUAGAAAGCUACGGCAAACUACGUGCCAGCAGCCGCGGUAAGACGUAGGUAGCAAGCGUUGUCCGGAAUAACUGGGCGUAAAGGGAGCGUAGGCGGUUUUGUAAGUCUAAUGUGAAAGUCUGUGGCUCAACCAUAGAAUUGCAUUGGAUACUGUAAGACUGGAGUACGGAAGAGGUAUACGGAAUUACUAGUGUAGCGGUGGAAUGCGUAGAUAUUAGUAGGAAGACCAGAGGCGAAGGCGGUAUACUGGGACGAUACUGACGCUGAGGCUCGAAAGCGUGGGGAGCAAACAGG